rnacentral:rRNA from 1 species
UACAGAGGUCUCAAGCGUUGUUCGGAUUCAUUGGGCGUAAAGGGUGCGUAGGUGGCGGGGUAAGUCAGGUGUGAAAUCUCGGGGCUCAACCCCGAAACUGCACUUGAUACUGCCUUGCUCGAGUACUGGAGAGGAGAUUGGAAUUUACGGUGUAGCAGUGAAAUGCGUAGAUAUCGUAAGGAAGACCAGUGGCGAAGGCGAAUCUCUGGACAGUUACUGACACUGAGGCACGAAGGCCAGGGGAGCAGACGGG